rnacentral:rRNA from 1 species
ACUAAAUAGAUACCCGGGUAGUCCACGCCGUAAACGUUGGGCGCUAGGUGUGGGGCUCUUUCCACGAGUUCCGUGCCGCAGCAAAAACGCAUUAAGCGCCCCGCCUGGGGAGUACGGCCGCAAGGCUAAACUCAAAGGAAUUGACGGGGGCCCGCACAAGCGGCGGAGCAUGCGGAUUAAUUCGAUGCAACGCGAAGAACCUUACCAAGGCUUGACAUACGCAGAAAACCGGCAGAGAUGUCGGGUCCGUAAGGGCUGUGUACAGGUGGUGCAUGGUUGUCGUCAGCUCGUGUCGUGAGAUGUUGGGUUAAGUCCCGCAACGAGCGCAACCCUCGUUCCAUGUUGCCAGCACGUAAUGGUGGGGACUCAUGGGAGACUGCCGGGGUCAACUCGGAGGAAGGUGGGGAUGACGUCAAAUCAUCAUGCCCCUUAUGUCUUGGGCUUCACGCAUGCUACAAUGGCCAGUACAAAGGGCUGCGAGACCGUAAGGUGAGCGAAUCCCAAAAGCUGGUCUCAGUUCGGAUCGGGGUCUGCAACU